GCUUGCUUCUCUGACGUUAGCGGCGGACGGGUGAGUAACACGUGGAUAACCUACCUAUAAGACUGGGAUAACUUCGGGAAACCGGAGCUAAUACCGGAUAAUAUAUUGAGCCGCAUGGUUCAAUAGUGAAAGACGGUUUUGCUGUCACUUAUAGAUGGAUCCGCGCCGCAUUAGCUAGUUGGUAAGGUAACGGCUUACCAAGGCAACGAUGCGUAGCCGACCUGAGAGGGUGAUCGGCCACACUGGAACUGAGACACGGUCCAGACUCCUACGGGAGGCAGCAGUAGGGAAUCUUCCGCAAUGGGCGAAAGCCUGACGGAGCAACGCCGCGUGAGUGAUGAAGGUCUUCGGAUCGUAAAACUCUGUUAUUAGGGAAGAACAAAUGUGUAAGUAACUAUGCACGUCUUGACGGUACCUAAUCAGAAAGCCACGGCUAACUACGUGCCAGCAGCCGCGGUAAUACGUAGGUGGCAAGCGUUAUCCGGAAUUAUUGGGCGUAAAGCGCGCGUAGGCGGUUUUUUAAGUCUGAUGUGAAAGCCCACGGCUCAACCGUGGAGGGUCAUUGGAAACUGGAAAACUUGAGUGCAGAAGAGGAAAGUGGAAUUCCAUGUGUAGCGGUGAAAUGCGCAGAGAUAUGGAGGAACACCAGUGGCGAAGGCGACUUUCUGGUCUGUAACUGACGCUGAUGUGCGAAAGCGUG
rnacentral:rRNA from 1 species